CAGAUCUAAGAACUUAAUGAAUAAAACGUUUAAGGCCGUUGAAAACGCUGUAUGACCAGAAUUCAUUUGAUUUUAUAUUAUUUAUUUGAACUAUGGACUUUACAACGGCGAAGACGAGUGUUAUGUUAUGAGUAUCUGUUAUAUUGAAUAAAAAUUAUUUGCAAACGUUUGUGUAAUGGCAAUAGAAGGCCCUCUCUUUGUCUUCUAUCAAACUAAGAAACAUGUUCCGAAUGAAGUCACGGGCUGCUUCUGAAUCGCCCUUCGGUCC